CCUACGGGAGGCUGCAGUGGGGGAUAUUGCACAAUGGGGGAAACCCUGAUGCAGCGACGCCGCGUGGGCGAAGAAGUAUUUCGGUAUGUAAAGCCCUAUCAGCAGGGAAGAAGAAAUGACGGUACCUGAGUAAGAAGCACCGGCUAAAUACGUGCCAGCAGCCGCGGUAAUACGUAUGGUGCAAGCGUUAUCCGGAUUUACUGGGUGGAAAGGGAGCGCAGGCGGCACGGCAAGCCUGAUGUGAAAGCCCGCGGCCCAACCGCGGGACUGCAUUGGGAACUACCGGGCUGGAGUGCCGGAGAGGUAGGCGGAAUUCCUAGUGUAGCGGUGAAAUGCGUAGAUAUUAGGAGGAACACCAGUGGCGAAGGCGGCCUACUGGACGGUGACUGACGCUGAGGCUCGAAAGCGUGGGGAGCAAACAGGAUUAGAUACCCUUGUAGUC
rnacentral:rRNA from 1 species